rnacentral:lncRNA from 1 species
CAUGAGUGCAGGUAUCCAUGGAAACCAGAAGAGGGCAUUGGAUCCCCUGGAGCUGGAGUUAUGGGUGGCUCUGAGAUGCCUGAUGUAGAUUCUGGGAAGCCAAAAGAUCCAUCUCAUCAGCCUCAGAUCACCAUCUACCACUGAGGCCCAGUGAAGCCAGCCUUCCUACGCCCAGUGAGAUGACCCUGGAAACAGACUGAUGCCAACCUGAAUAUAUGAACUUCUGGUGUGAUGUGAAUGAAAAUAUAUCUUGUUCACUGAGUUUGCUAUACAUUUAGUGUUUUUAUUUUGU